AUGAUAUAUAUUUUUUGCUUUACUUAGUUCUAUUCUACAUAAAGUAUAGCACUCGUUGACAUGUAUUUUCCAUGUUUACAUGUCAGCAUGAACAAAGUAUUAUUCAAGCAAUCCUCCAUCAUAUUCGCCCGAACCUUCUUCAGUUGUUGGUCGAACAGUGGUUGGAAUGGGUCGGCAUUUUCCAUAAGUCUGGUGAUAUUUUCGCUCACAUACCAAUCCUUCAGCACACUGGGAGCAAUGAUACUAAAAAAAUAGAGCAUU
rnacentral:lncRNA from 1 species